rnacentral:misc_RNA from 1 species
UACUGCAGGGGCAUCUCGAUGU